GAAAGAUCUUCUACAUGAACAUCCACAAAUGGGAAUCAUAUGCAGUUUCUGCCAGCUUGAUCCCAAACAGGCCCCUCCGUGCCAGGGAGACUGGAGAACAAUCUCCAGUGAAGUGUCCAAGGAGAUGAUGAGCCAAGGAGCACAUGCGGGUGCAGUAACCUUCUGCUGGAUAGUGAUGAGCAAUGAGACAUUUUAUCUUCAUCAGUUCCAGCUAUGGCAGGAAGGAAACAUCAAUCUGCUGCCCUGUUGAUGGCUAAAGCAGUAUAAACAGAUCUAACCAUGCUAAACCCUUGACUGCACACAGCCAUGUGUACUAUACUUGCUAUAUUGAUUUGAAAAUCAAUAAUGCUAAGUGGAUAACCCCCCUGUGCAAACAUAUUUAUAGCACUCUGAGGGAUUUUUUUUCACCAAUGUGAUAUUCCUAUAAAUUUAUCUCUAAUACCAUGAAUGAUUUUAUCAUAAUCUACAGCAUGAAGUAGUGUUGCAUUCUGAGCCAAUAUUUAAGCAUUAAACACAGGUAUCUUAUCUCUA